rnacentral:rRNA from 1 species
AACGUAGGAGACAAACGUUAUCCGGAGUUACUGGGCGUAAAGGGCGUGUAGGUGGUUUCGUAAGUCUGGCGUGAAAUUUUUCGGCUUAACCGGGAAAGGUCGUCGGAUACUGCGGAGCUAGAGGACGGUAGAGGCGUGUGGAAUUCCGGGUGUAGUGGUGAAAUGCGUAGAUAUAGGAAGGAACACCAGUGGCGAAGGCGACCACCUGGACUGAUACUGACACUGAGGUGCGAAAGCGUGGGGAGCAAACAGG